AACCCUCUCUCCCUCCUCUUUCUCUCUUUUGACAAAUUCGUUCGAGACUUGGGAGUUUCGACGCAGCAGCCAUAACCGAAGAUUCUUCAGCUAAUACUACUGCAAUACACUGCACCGGAGUAUCUGCUUUUCUCCGGUUGCGGAAUCUCGAAGCCCUAACCUCUGUGAUUCGACCGAGUAGCUAGAUCGAGCGAGCGGCGAGGAAGAAUUGGGUUUGUGGGGAGCGGAGGGAUUAUUGAAUAAUGGCGGCGGAAUUAGGGCAAAAGACGGUGGAGUUCUCCACGCUGGUGAGCCGGGCGUCGGAGGAGUCGUACGUCUCGCUCAAGGAGCUGGUGGAGAAGUCCAGGUCCGCUGACCUCUCCGAUUCAGACAAGAAGAUUGGGAUUCUCCAGUACCUCGUCAAGACCCAACAGCGCAUGCUUUGCCUCAAUGUCCUCGCCAAGUGGUGUCAACAGGUCCCCUUGAUUCAGUACUGUCAACAACUUGCAUCAACAUUAUCAAGUCAUGAUACAUGUUUCACUCAAGCUGCAGAUUCAUUGUUUUUCAUGCAUGAAGGGCUACAACAAGCUCGUGCUCCCAUCUAUGAUGUUCCUUCUGCUAUUGAAAUUCUUCUUACUGGAUCUUACCUACGUUUGCCAAAAUGUAUAGAAGAUGUGGGCAUGCAAAGCACAUUAAAUGAUGAUCAGCAAAAAUCAGCUCUAAAGAAGCUAGAUGCACUUGUUAGGUCUAAACUCCUUGAAGUUUCACUUCCCAAGGAAAUUACAGAAGUAAAGGUUUCUGAUGGUACUGUUUUGCUCCGUGUGGAUGGGGAAUUUAAGGUUCUAGUUACUCUUGGUUAUAGAGGACACUUGUCAAUGUGGAGGAUAUUGCAUCUAGAGCUUCUUGUUGGUGAGAGAAGUGGUAUGAUGAAGCUUGAAGAAUCGCGUAGACAUGCUCUUGGAGAUGAUCUUGAACGGAGAAUGACCACUGCAGAGCAUCCAUUCAUGACGUUGUACUCUAUUCUGCAUGAACUGUGUGUUGCACUUGUUAUGGACACAGUUAUAAGGCAGGUACAAACACUUAGGCAAGGGAGAUGGAAAGAUGCAAUUCGAUUUGAGCUCAUAUCUGAUGGUACUGUCGGACAAGGAGGGAGUGCUGGCUCCAUGCAAAUGAAUCAAGACGGAGAAACUGAUUUCACUGGUUUACGUACUCCUGGCUUAAAAAUUUUGUAUUGGCUGGAGUUAGAUAAAAGCUCCAGUACAUCUGACAUGGGAUCUUGCCCAUAUAUAAAAAUUGAACCAGGUCCAGACCUGCAAAUAAAGUGUCUCCAUACCUCAUUUGUAAUUGAUCCGAUGACUGGAAAGGAAGCAGAAUUUUUCCUUGAUCAAAGUUGCAUCGACGUUGAGAAGUUGCUACUCAGAGCAAUCUGCUGUAACAGAUAUACUCGCUUACUUGAAAUUUAUAAAGAACUGGAGAAAAAUACUCAGGUCUGUCGAGCUCCAGGAGAUGUUCAACUUAAUUGCCAGGGUGAAACUCAAGCUGAAUACAAAAUGAGGGAUAACAAGCUUGACCUUGGAAAAGAUGAAGGUCAAGUAGUCUUGCUUGUACGUGCCUAUGGCUCUUCGUUCUUCACCCUUGGAAUAAAUAUAAGGAUUGGACGCUUCAUUCUUCAGUCAUCCAAGAAUAUUAUAUCAUCAUCAACACUAAUUGAGCAUGAAGAUGCCCUAAACCAGGGGGGACUAUGACUGCAGCUGAUGCUUUUAUAAGCCUGAGAAGCAAAAGCUUAUUACACUUGUUUGCUUGUGUUGGAAGGUUCUUAGGCCUUGAGGUUUUUGAACAUGGUUUAGCAUCAUUGAAGCUGCCAAAGAAUAUUGCCAGUGGUUCAAACUUGUUGCUUAUGAGAUUCCCGGAAUGUGGUAGCUGUUAUUAUUUGCUAAUGCAACUUGACAAGGAUUUCAAACCACUUUUCAAGUUACUAGAAAUUCAGUCAGAUUCUUCAGGAAAAGCUCAAUCAUUUGGUGAUUUAACCAACUUUGUCCGUUCCAAAAGUGUUGAUGUUGGUCAGAUGCAGAUUUAUGAGGAUGUACUGAAUUUGAGUCUUCUUGACUACAGGAAAUUGUUGUCAUCUUUACGUGAUAAUACUACCCAACAAAUUGAAAGCAGUAAUCUUAAUAAAUUUAGCUUGGAAGGUUCUAUGUCUAUUUCUUGUGUUUCUUCUAAUUUCUCAUCCAUUGUUGAUGAAGUGUUUGAACUAGAGAAAGCUCUUCCUUCUAUGACUGGUGCAAAUCCCCCUUAUAGAUUUGCCAGUUCUCCUGCUUCACAUUUUGUUCCGGGGUCUACAAAUUUGCAUAGUUCAAAAGUUGGAACAUCAUCUCCUAAAUGGGAAGGGGGAGUGCAGAUAUUGCAAAAUAAUGUUUCAAUUUACAAGGGGAUAGUACAGUCGGGAUCCACCAGUUCGUUAUCCCCAUUUCCUGGAAGAAGUCAAACUAUGAAGAAAUUGACAGCUUCCAGGUCUGAGCAAGAUUUGGUGUCUCUAAGGUCACCACAUUCUGUUGGAAUUGAAUCUUACACAUCAAUGGAUGAAGAUCAGCUGCCUCGGUCAGCUCAACUUCUAUCUCCACCAAACCGAAAUAGCCUUCCAACUCCUGCAUCAAUUGGAACAUCUAAUGCCCCAAAGAGCUCUCCAGGGGGCACAGUAUCUGCAAGCCUUAGGGCUUCUGGAUCUAACUCAUUAGUUACAAGUCCCCUAUCCCAAGUCACUUCUGCUACAUGUGCAAAUUCAAGUCAUGAUGCAGCUUCUAGACAAAAUAAAAUGCCUAGAAAGCGUACAGUUUCAGAUUUAUUAAAUUCACUUCCAUCACUUCAAGGAAAAGAAUCCAGUGAAGGAUCUUACAAGAGAAGAAAGGUUGUGGAGUCUGCUAGCACUCAUCAUCUUCAGUCACAAAUGCUAGUUUCUUUGGAGAUAUCUGGUAAAACUGAUGGCUACAGUUAUGCUGAUCUCUUAAAUGAAACUCAUAAAGGCAAUGCACCUUCUACUGUAUAUGUUUCUGCCCUUCUUCACGUUAUCAGGCAUUGCUCACUUUGUAUCAAGCAUGCCCGACUUACUAGUCAGAUGGAUGCACUUGAAAUCCCGUAUGUUGAAGAGGUGGGUCUUAGAAGUGCAUCCUCAAAACUGUGGUUCCGACUUCCUUUUGCUAGAGAUGACACAUGGCAACAUAUAUGCUUGCGGCUUGGGAGGCCUGGAAGCAUGUAUUGGGAUGUCAAAAUCAUUGACCAACACUUUCAGGACCUGUGGGAGCUUCAAAAAGGUGGCAGUAGUACUCCAUGGGGUUCUGGUGUUCGAAUUGCAAAUACAUCUGAUGCAGAUUCUCAUAUCCGUUAUGAUUCAGAGGGUGUUGUUUUGAGCUACCAUUCUGUUGAGGCUGAUAGUAUCCGUAAAUUAGUGGCUGAUAUCCAAAGGCUCUCUAAUGCUCGUGCAUUUGCACUUGGAAUGCGGAAGUUACUUGGUGCAAGGACAGAUGAAAAGUUGGAAGAAAGCAGUCCAAAUGUGGAUGGUAAAGUACAAUCUGGACUAAAAAGUGCUGGUGACUCGGUUGAUAGGAUUUCAGACCAAAUGAGGAGAGCAUUUAGAAUUGAGGCUGUUGGACUUAUGAGUCUGUGGUUUAGUUUUGGUCAAGGGGUUCUUGCUCGUUUUGUUGUUGAAUGGGAAUCGGGUAAAGAAGGCUGCACAAUGCAUGUUUCACCUGACCAACUUUGGCCACAUACCAAGUUUCUCGAAGAUUUCAUAGAUGGAGCUGAGGUUUCAUCACUCUUAGAUUGCAUCCGCCUCACAGCCGGACCUUUGCAUGCUCUUGCUGGUGCAACACGACCUGCACGAGCUGCUCCUGUGUCUGGGGUUACUGGUAUUGUAGCACCUGCUCCUAUGUUCAUAAUUGUAAGUUCAUAAUGUCAGAGCUCUGUGUUCAUAAUUCCAUAACUGUA